AAGCUCGUAGUUGAAUUUCGGGACCAAUAUGUCGGUCGUGCUUCGGUACGUACUGUCAUAAUUGGUUUCUCCCUUCUGAAGAACCUUGAUGUCAUUAAUUUGGUGUCUUGGGGAAUCAGGACUGUUACUUUGAAAAAAUUAGAGUGUUUAAAGCAGGCUCGCGCUUGAAUACAUUAGCAUGGAAUAAUGAAAUAGGACGUUUGAUUCUAUUUUGUUGGUUUCUAGGAUCGACGUAAUGAUUAAUAGGGAUAGUUGGGGGCAUUAGUAUUCAAUUGUCAGAGGUGAAAUUCUUGGAUUUAUUGAAGACUAACUACUGCGAAAGCAUUUGCCAAGGAUGUUUUCAUUAAUCAAGAACGAAAGUUAGGGGAUCGAAGACGAUCAGAUACCGUCGUAGUCUUAACCAUAAACUAUGCCGACUAGGGAUCGGAUGAUGUUAAUUUUUUAAUGACUCAUUCGGCGCCUUACGGGAAACCAAAGUGUUUGGGUUCCGGGGGGAGUAUGGUCGCAAGGCUGAAACUUAAAGGAAUUGACGGAAGGGCACCACCAGGGGUGGAGCCUGCGGCUUAAUUUGACUCAACACGGGGAAACUCACCAGGUCCAGACAUAGUAAGGAUUGACAGAUUGAGAGCUCUUUCUUGAUUCUAUGGGUG
rnacentral:rRNA from 1 species